rnacentral:rRNA from 1 species
AGCUCCAAUAGCGUAUAUUAAAGUUGUUGCAGUUAAAAAGCUCGUAGUUGAAUUUCUGAUAGAAGGGAGCGGUUCCGCAUUCUUGCGGAUACUGGCUCGUCUUCCGUCAUCCUUGGGCUUAGUCUCGCUGAUAUUAACUUAUCGGCGUGGACGAUGCCCAUCGUUUUCUGUGAGCAAAUUAGAGUGUUCAAAGCAGGCAUUUUGCCAUUGAAUAUAUUAGCAUGGAAUAAUAAGAUAGGAUUUCACGAUUUUAUUUUGUUGGUUUGCGUUGUGAAAUAAUGAUUAAGAGGGACAGUUGUGGGUAUUCGUAUUCAGAUGUCAGAGGUGAAAUUCUUAGAUUAUCGGAAGACGAACGACUGCGAAAGCAUUUACCAAGGAUGUUUUCA